UUGUAACAUUUAAUCUCUGUUUUCAGGACAAACAGCUUCAACAAAUAGUUGAUAAAACUAUUCUUGCUUUGGACAAGGACUCAGAUGGUCAUAUAAACUUCAGAGAGUUUAGUGAUAUAAUUGACAAAGGAGGGGCCAGACAUGAUGAGGAUGUAACAACUGCUCUCAGUAUCCAAGUGCCUAAAGUGUAGAGACCGAACCAAAGCUAGAAAACAGUCCCUUUAAAGCUCCCACCAUGCAGUUCUCUUUUUUACAAAUUUUGACUGUGAUUUCUCCCAUAUAACUAAUAUUUGAUAAAGGCCUAUUCGCGUAUUUUUAAGAUUAAAACUGGUUCGCCAAUAUGUUUAGUGAACCGUGUCCAUUUAACAUUAUUUAAUACAAAGCUCAAUAGCACCUGUUGACAUAUCAUUUCUCUUAUUUCGUAAAUGUGUGUUGCAGCAUAACGACAACAUUUUGCCAUAUUCACGUAUUUUGUAUUUUGUAUUACAUGUAUUUAAUAUUUAAUAUUUAUCGAGU